AUGACGAGGGGUGAUGGAGUCCACCUGAACGGCCCUUUCUUUCAUAAGGAAAGGGAUGAUGACUCCUGUGAGAGA
ncrna:unclassified sequences Fluoride riboswitch